AAAACAUCUCAAAUAGAUAUUACCCGAAAAUAAAAGAUCUAAGUGUGUUUUAAGUUAUUAGACUAUUUUGUUACACUCUGUAGCAUUAGCUGUUAAAAUUAUAUCUUAGUGGUGAAAGGCCUUCAAUUUUAUUGAUAGCUGGUUAAAUGUUAAAUAUAUUAAGUUUAUAAGAAACUUACAAAGUGACAAGAUUUUGUAAGGUAUAAUUUCUUGUGUAUACUGUAUAAGGCUAAUAAUUAAUAGUUAGUGGCGAAAUUUGAUUACUUAAAUACUUUUACAGCAUAGUAAUUACCUAACAACAUUUUAUUUUGUUACCUAAUUCUUUAUAAAAUAGAUAAUGUAUAAAUAAGUAGAUAGUAUAAAUUUAAAUUAAGGAACUCGGCAAUUAAAACAUACGACUGUUUAACAAAAACAUAGCCGGUAGCUAAUAAAUUAUCGGUGAUACCUGCCCAGUGAUUUUUAACGGCCGCAGUACUAUGACUGUGCAAAGGUAGCAUAAUCAUUUGGCUUUUAAUUGAAGUCUGGUAUGAACGGAUAAACGUAUGCAAGCUGUCUCCAUUAUAAAUUUAUUAAAAUUAUUUAUAGGGUGAAAAUACCCUAGAUAUUAAAAAAAGACGAGAAGACCCUUAGAAUUUUAAGAAUAAUCAGCAAUCGUAGUUGGUAUAAUUUUUGUUGGGGCAACAUUUUUUCAAUUGAACAAAAACUUUAAAUAAUGACAUAACAAGUAAGUUUUAUAAAGUAAAAAUUACCUAAGGGAUAACAGCAUAAUUUUAAGUAAAGAUUGUGACCUCGAUGUUGGACUAGGAACUAUUAAGGCUAGUCGUUUUAAUACAAUAGGUUCUGUUCGAACUUUAUUUCCUA
rnacentral:rRNA from 1 species